UACCAGCACCCCGAGUGGUCGGGACGAUUAUUGGGCCUAAAGCAUCCGUAGCCGGCCUUACAAGUCCUCCGUUAAAUCCAGCUGCUUAACAGAUGGGCUGCGGAGGAUACUCCAGAGCUAGGAGGCAGGAGAGGCAAGCGGUACUCAGUGGGUAGGGGUAAAAUCCGUUGAUCCAUUGAAGACCACCAGUGGCGAAGGCGGCUUGCCAGAAUGCGCUCGACGGUGAGGGAUGAAAGCUGGGGGAGCAAACCGGG
rnacentral:rRNA from 1 species